rnacentral:sRNA from 1 species
GUUUAGCCCUGAUUGAAGCGGAUAUACUUGGUUGAUCACUAGAUUGCGGUGACUUAGCUAGAAGUGUUAUCGAGAUAACAGGAACGCUACUAGCUAAUAGUCACCGUUCUAGCGAGCAAUCAGGAUAGUAGCGAAAAGCAGGACUAGCU